ACUCUCUCCCUGCUGGAGUUGCUCCAGUGAAGCAUUGUCUGGUUCCAAAAUCCAGGCAUGAGAGCAUCUCCUUCUCUGCCCAGUGGUUGGUUUACACGUGUCCUGAAGUGAGACUCGUGAUUGUCUGAAUGUGACCAAAUGUCUUGGUGUGUGAGGACUCCAAGCACUAGCCAGGCAGAGAUCCUUCUCCUGCAAUGUCCUGGCAAUGGCUGGCUGAGGUAUAAUGUUCCUCUUUUGCAGGAAACAGCCUGCAGUAGCUUCUGCACACAUUGUGCUGCCCCACACAGUUGUUCCCUUCCUUGUGCUGAAUUAGGACCCUUGGGAAUAAGGGCCAGGCAUUUAAUCCCCAGACACAGUUGCCUUUGUCCUCUGUCCUUCUCCUAGUACCCACUGACCUCAUCUCUUGGUUCCCGUCACUCUUUUCCAGAUAAUGGGGUGCUGACCUCCCUUCUAAAG
rnacentral:lncRNA from 1 species